AGAGUUUGAUCCUGGCUCAGGAUGAACGCUAGCUGCAGGCUUAACACAUGCAAGUCGAGGGGAAACGACAUCGAAAGCUUGCUUUUUGAUGGGCGUCGACCGGCGCACGGGUGAGUAACGCGUAUCCAACCUGCCCACCACUUGGGGAUAACCUUGCGAAAGUAAGACUAAUACCCAAUGAUAUCUCUAGAAGACAUCUGAAAGAGAUUAAAAGAUUUAUCGGUGAUGGAUGGGGAUGCGUCUGAUUAGCUUGUUGGCGGGGUAACGGCCACCAAGGCGACGAUCAGUAGGGGUUCUGGAGAGGAAGGUCCCCCCACAUUGGAACUGAGACACGGUCCAAACUCCUACGGGAGGCA
rnacentral:rRNA from 1 species